rnacentral:rRNA from 1 species
UACGUAGGGUGCGAGCGUUAAUCGGAAUUACUGGGCGUAAAGCGUGCGCAGGCGGUUGUGCAAGACAGAUGUGAAAUCCCCGGGCUUAACCUGGGAAUUGCAUUUGUGACUGCACGGCUAGAGUGUGGUCAGAGGGAGGUAGAAUUCCACGUGUAGCAGUGAAAUGCGUAGAUAUGUGGAGGAAUACCGAUGGCGAAGGCAGCCUCCUGGGAUAACACUGACGUCAUGCACGAAGCGUGGG